GUCUUUCCACAGCGUCAGUAUCAUAGCCAAUGAGGUUUAUCUGAGGCCAGAUUAUUGCUAAUUGAAAACCUUUCCCAAUACUCCACAGUGACAACUUGCAAUAUAGAUGGCAUUGGCAAUUUUUAACAGUCUCUAUAGAGG